rnacentral:rRNA from 1 species
UACGGAGGGUGCGAGCGUUGUCCGGAAUCAUUGGGCGUAAAGCGCACGUAGGCGGAUGUGUCAGUCAGGGGUGAAAUCCCGGAGCUCAACUUCGGAACUGCCUUUGAUACAGCACGUCUUGAGUCCGAUAGAGGUGGGUGGAAUUCCUAGUGUAGAGGUGAAAAUUCGUAGAUAUUGGGAAGAACACCGAUGGCGAAGGCAGCCAUCUGGACCGACACUGACGCUGAGGCGCGAAAGCGUGGGGAGCAAACAGG